UAGAGUUUGAUCAUGGCUCAGAGUGACCCUUUGCGGCGUGCCUAACACAUGCAAGUCGAACGGAGCGAAGCCCCUUGCUGCCUAGCUUAGUGGCGCACGGGUGAGUAACACGUAGCUAACUUGCCCUAUAGUGGGGGACAACAGUUGGAAACGACUGCUAAUACCCUAUACUCCGCCUCUACACAAGUAGAGUCGGGAAAGUUUUUCGCUAUAGGAUAGGGCUGCGGUCUAUCAGCUAGUUGGUGGGGUAACGGCCUACCAAGGCUAUGACGGAUAGCUGGUCUGAGAGGAUGAUCAGCCACACUGGAACUGAGACACGGUCCAGACUCCUACGGGAGGCAGCAGUGGGGAAUUUUACACAAUGGGCGAAAGCCUGAUGUAGCAACGCCGCGUGGAGGAUGACGGAUCUAGGUCUGUAAACUCCUUUUAUAAGGGAAGAAAUUUGACGGUACCUUAUGAAUAAGCACCGGCUAACUCCGUGCCAGCAGCCGCGGUAAUA
rnacentral:rRNA from 1 species